GCUCUUUAAUAAAAACAAUAAAUAUUAUAUAAUUAANUGUCUUUUGACUAUAGUGAUAAACAUUUUAUAAAAUAAGCUUUUCGGACCCGGGGGCGGUACCCGGCACCUCCACCAAAAAUAUGGGGGUGAAAUAGGAUCGACGUGAGUGAUAAAAAUAAAACUUUCACUCGGUAUUGUACCACCGUUAUCGGGCAAUUAAUAGUUGCAAAUGACAACUACGCUCCGGUGGCCGCAGCUGCAUAAGUAGCUAAGGCAACCGAAACUUAAGUCCAAUUCACUAGCAUGAAUUGGCGGGGUUAAAACUACCUGGCAACAGAAAGUGCGGGGCA
rnacentral:tmRNA from 1 species